rnacentral:rRNA from 1 species
CUUGGUCAUUUAGAGGAAGUAAAAGUCGUAACAAGGUUUCCGUAGGUGAACCUGCGGAAGGAUCAUUCAUAAUAAGUGUUUUAUGGCACUUUUUAAAUCCAUAUCCACCUUGUGUGCAAUGUCAGUUGUUCUCUUUUUUGAGAAUGACCAAACAUCAACUUAUUCUUUAACUCUUUGUCUGAAAAAUAUUAUGAAUAAAAUAAUUCAAAAUACAACUUUCAACAACGGAUCUCUUGGCUCUCGCAUCGAUGAAGAACGCAGCGAAAUGCGAUACGUAAUGUGAAUUGCAGAAUUCAGUGAAUCAUCGAAUCUUUGAACGCAUAUUGCGCUCUUUGGUAUUCCGAAGAGCAUGCUUGUUUGAGUAUCAGUAAACACCUCAAAGACUUCAAUUUGUUUUGAAUGGCUUUGGACUUGAGCAAUCCCAACACCAGUCUUUACGAUCGGUGGAGGGUUGCUUGAAAUGCAGGUGCAGCUGGACAUUCUCCUGAGCUAAAAGCAUAUUUAUUUAGUCCCGUCAAACGGAUUAUUACUUUUGCUGCAGCUAACAUAAAGGGAGUUUGACCGUAUUGGCUGACUGAUGCAGGAUUUCACAAGGGUCGGCAACGAUUCUUGUUAAACUCGAUCUCAAAUCAAGUAAGACUACCCGCUGAACUUAAGCAUAUCAAUAAGCGGAGGA